rnacentral:misc_RNA from 1 species
GACGAAGAGAGAGAGAUAUGUUUCAGAGCAAAGUGUUAUCCUCUAUUUUGAAGAGGAACAAGGGAGCUAUUAAUACUGUAAUAUCCAAUUUCAGAGGUAGAACGUCUCCGUUUAAGGAUUUGAUGGAACAGCCUUCAACAUCAUUCUUCAAUGUCUUUAGAUCCUCACCUGUGUGUCAUCACAUCCCAUCUAUGAGGAAUAUGUCCACUGCAGCAUCUAUUGGCAUGGAAGGUAAGGAAGGAUUAAAGCUUCUUGUAACGGGGGGACCCCGAGCUCAAAAAAUGGUUGGCAUAUGGCUUUUUGGUUCUGCUAUGUGGGUUUUUAGCAUGGUGGUCCUUGGUGGUGUCACACGGCUACCAGUAAAUUUCCAAUCAGUCAUU